AUUGAACGCUGGCGGCAUGCCUUACACAUGCAAGUCGAACGGCAGCACGGGAGCAAUCCUGGUGGCGAGUGGCGAACGGGUGAGUAAUAUAUCGGAACGUGCCCAGUCGUGGGGGAUAACGUAGCGAAAGCUACGCUAAUACCGCAUACGAUCUAUGGAUGAAAGCGGGGGAUCGCAAGACCUCGCGCGAUUGGAGCGGCCGAUAUCAGAUUAGGUAGUUGGUGAGGUAAAGGCUCGCCAAGCCGACGAUCUGUAGCUGGUCUGAGAGGACGACCAGCCACACUGGGACUGAGACACGGCCCAGACUCCUACGGGAGGCAGCAGUGGGGAAUUUUGGACAAUGGCGCAAGCCUGAUCCAGCAAU
rnacentral:rRNA from 1 species